AAAGCCAGGACUGGAACCCAGGCUCUAAGGGAUGACAGGAAUCAUGUUCUAUUCAACUUUAUUAUUAUUAGUUACUACAUUUUUUUGAGGACCAUCGUUAUACAUUAUGAGUGAGUUAAAGGCAGAAAAAUGUAAGUUAGAAGGGUUUUCCUAGAAAGCGUUUUAUGUAAUUCAGUAUUACAGGCUAUCUGCUUCCUGUCAUAACCCUGAAUCACACUGUCUGCCAGGUCAGUGUGGGCCAUCCAUCUGAGGUUGAUGAGAUAUUUGAUGCUAUAUCAUAUAGCAAAGGUGCAUCUGUCAUCCGAAUGCUGCAUGACUACAUUGGGGAUAAGGACUUUAAGAAAGGAAUGAACAUGUAUUUAACCAAGUUCCAACAAAAGAAUGCUGCCACAGGUAAUCUCUAAUAGCUUGAGAUAGAAAUGGAGAGAAAGUAUUGUCACUCUAUCCAGGCUGGGACAUUUUAUUUUUGUUCUGAAUACUUAAGGUCAGGAUCCAUGUAAUAAAUAAAUUAG
rnacentral:lncRNA from 1 species